GCACGCGUAGCCAAGCGGCAAGGCGACGAUCUGCAAAGUCGUUCAGCGUCGGUUCGACUCCGACCGCGUGCU
rnacentral:tRNA from 1 species